rnacentral:pre_miRNA from 1 species
AAGCCAAUCAGAAAUGAGCUUAUCCAUAAAAGUACAGUAUCGUCAGUAAACCUGUACUUUUAUGGAUAAGCUAGUCUCUGAUUGAAACACGCAACA